rnacentral:rRNA from 1 species
AUUGAACGCUGGCGGCAUGCUUUACACAUGCAAGUCGAACGGCAGCGGGGUAGUGCUUGCACUACUGCCGGCGAGUGGCGAACGGGUGAGUAAUAUAUCGGAACGUACCGAGUAAUGGGGGAUAACCAAUCGAAAGAUUGGCUAAUACCGCAUACGUCCUGAGGGAGAAAGCGGGGGAUCGCAAGACCUCGCGUUAUUCGAGCGGCCGAUAACUGAUUAGCUAGUUGGUGGGGUAAAGGCCUACCAAGGCGACGAUCAGUAGCGGGUCUGAGAGGACGAUCCGCCACACUGGGACUGAGACACGGCCCAGACUCCUACGGGAGGCAGCAGUGGGGAAUUUUGGGCAAUGGGGGCAACCCUGAUCCAGCCAUGCCGCGUGUAUGAAGAAGGCCUUCGGGUUGUAAAGUACUUUUGUUAGGGAAGAAAAGGGAAGUGCUAAUACCACUUUUUGCUGACGGUACCUAAAGAAUAAGCACCGGCUAACUACGUG